UACGUAGGGGGCUAGCGUUGUCCGGAUUUAUUGGGCGUAAAGGGCGCGUAGGCGGCUUGUACAGUCAGGCGUGAAAUUCCUGGGCUCAACCUGGGGGCUGCGUUUGAUACGUGCGGGCUUGAGUUCGGAAGAGGGUCGUGGAAUUCCCAGUGUAGAGGUGAAAUUCGUAGAUAUUGGGAAGAACACCGGUGGCGAAGGCGGUUCUCUGGGCCGUUACCUGACACUGAGGAGCGAAAGCGUGGGGAGCGAACAGG
rnacentral:rRNA from 1 species